GCAGCUCAGUCAGCAGAUCCUGAGAUUUGUAAUCUCAGGUCAUGGGUUUAAGCCCCGUGUUGGGCA